rnacentral:rRNA from 1 species
CAGUCGCCACGGUAAUACGGAGGGUGCAAGCGUUAAUCGGAAUUACUGGGCGUAAAGCGUGCGUAGGCGGUUCGUUAAGUCUGUUGUGAAAGCCCCGGGCUCAACCUGGGAAUGGCAAUGGAUACUGGCGAGCUAGAGUGUGUCAGAGGAUGGUGGAAUUCCCGGUGUAGCGGUGAAAUGCGUAGAGAUCGGGAGGAACAUCAGUGGCGAAGGCGGCCAUCUGGGACAACACUGACGCUGAGGCACGAAAGCGUGGGGAGCAAACAGGAUUAGAUACCCGCGUAGUCCCUGUCUCUUAUAC